UCUCCGUAGGUGAACCUGCGGAGGGAUCAUUACCGAGCUCAUGCCCUUACGGGUAGAUCUCCCACCCUGUGUUAUUAUUACCUUUGUUGCUUUGGCGGACCGCCAGGCUCCGGUCAGGCUAUCGGCUUCGGCUGGUAAGCGCCCGCCAGAGGACCCUAUAUCCUGAUUAUUAGUGUCGUCUGAGUACUAUAUAAUAGUUAAAACUUUCAACAACGGAUCUCUUGGUUCUG
rnacentral:misc_RNA from 1 species